CAGCCGUAACCCGACGGCCGCCCGACCAGCGCCCCGCGGGGGAAGUCCGGUGAGAGUCCGGCGCUGACCCGCAACGGUAAGCGAAGCGUCCGCUUCGCGAGCCCGAUCACCCGCGGCGGCGUCAGCUCCUGA
rnacentral:ncRNA from 2 species